rnacentral:rRNA from 1 species
AGCGUACACGGUGGAUGCCCUGGCAGUCAGAGGCGAUGAAGGACGUGCUAAUCUGCGAUAAGCGUCGGUGAGGUGAUAUGAACCGUUAUAACCGGCGAUUUCCGAAUGGGGAAACCCAGUGUGUUUCGACACACUAUCAUUAACUGAAUCCAUAGGUUAAUGAGGCGAACCGGGGGAACUGAAACAUCUAAGUACCCCGAGGAAAAGAAAUCAACCGAGAUUCCCCCAGUAGCGGCGAGCGAACGGGGAGGAGCCCAGAGCCUGAAUCAGUGUGUGUGUUAGUGGAAGCGUCUGGAAAGGCGUGCGAUACAGGGUGACAGCCCCGUACACAAAAAUGCACAUAUUGUGAGCUCGAUGAGUAGGGCGGGACACGUGGUAUCCUGUCUGAAUAUGGGGGGACCAUCCUCCAAGGCUAAAUACUCCUGACUGACCGAUAGUGAACCAGUACCGUGAGGGAAAGGCGAAAAGAACCCCGGCGAGGGGAGUGAAAAAGAACCUGAAACCGUGUACGUACAAGCAGUGGGAGCCUCUUUAUGGGGUGACUGCGUACCUUUUGUAUAAUGGGUCAGCGACUUAUAUUCUGUAGCAAGGUUAACCGAAUAGGGGAGCCGAAGGGAAACCGAGUCUUAACUGGGCGUUAAGUUGCAGGGUAUAGACCCGAAACCCGGUGAUCUAGCCAUGGGCAGGUUGAAGGUUGGGUAACACUAACUGGAGGACCGAACCGACUAAUGUUGAAAAAUUAGCGGAUGACUUGUGGCUGGGGGUGAAAGGCCAAUCAAACCGGGAGAUAGCUGGUUCUCCCCGAAAGCUAUUUAGGUAGCGCCUCGUGAAUUCAUCUCCGGGGGUAGAGCACUGUUUCGGCAAGGGGGUCAUCCCGACUUACCAACCCGAUGCAAACUGCGAAUACCGGAGAAUGUUAUCACGGGAGACACACGGCGGGUGCUAACGUCCGUCGUGAAGAGGGAAACAACCCAGACCGCCAGCUAAGGUCCCAAAGUCAUGGUUAAGUGGGAAACGAUGUGGGAAGGCCCAGACAGCCAGGAUGUUGGCUUAGAAGCAGCCAUCAUUUAAAGAAAGCGUAAUAGCUCACUGGUCGAGUCGGCCUGCGCGGAAGAUGUAACGGGGCUAAACCAUGCACCGAAGCUGCGGCAGCGACACUAUGUGUUGUUGGGUAGGGGAGCGUUCUGUAAGCCUGUGAAGGUGGCCUGUGAGGGUUGCUGGAGGUAUCAGAAGUGCGAAUGCUGACAUAAGUAACGAUAAAGCGGGUGAAAAGCCCGCUCGCCGGAAGACCAAGGGUUCCUGUCCAACGUUAAUCGGGGCAGGGUGAGUCGACCCCUAAGGCGAGGCCGAAAGGCGUAGUCGAUGGGAAACAGGUUAAUAUUCCUGUACUUGGUGUUACUGCGAAGGGGGGACGGAGAAGGCUAUGUUGGCCGGGCGACGGUUGUCCCGGUUUAAGCGUGUAGGCUGGUUUUCCAGGCAAAUCCGGAAAACCAAGGCUGAGGCGUGAUGACGAGGCACUACGGUGCUGAAGCGACAAAUGCCCUGCUUCCAGGAAAAGCCUCUAAGCAUCAGGUAACAUCAAAUCGUACCCCAAACCGACACAGGUGGUCAGGUAGAGAAUACCAAGGCGCUUGAGAGAACUCGGGUGAAGGAACUAGGCAAAAUGGUGCCGUAACUUCGGGAGAAGGCACGCUGAUAUGUAGGUGAAGCGACUUGCUCGUGGAGCUGAAAUCAGUCGAAGAUACCAGCUGGCUGCAACUGUUUAUUAAAAACACAGCACUGUGCAAACACGAAAGUGGACGUAUACGGUGUGACGCCUGCCCGGUGCCGGAAGGUUAAUUGAUGGGGUUAGCGGCAACGCGAAGCUCUUGAUCGAAGCCCCGGUAAACGGCGGCCGUAACUAUAACGGUCCUAAGGUAGCGAAAUUCCUUGUCGGGUAAGUUCCGACCUGCACGAAUGGCGUAAUGAUGGCCAGGCUGUCUCCACCCGAGACUCAGUGAAAUUGAACUCGCUGUGAAGAUGCAGUGUACCCGCGGCAAGACGGAAAGACCCCGUGAACCUUUACUAUAGCUUGACACUGAACAUUGAGCCUUGAUGUGUAGGAUAGGUGGGAGGCUUUGAAGUGUGGACGCCAGUCUGCAUGGAGCCGACCUUGAAAUACCACCCUUUAAUGUUUGAUGUUCUAACGUUGGCCCGUAAUCCGGGUUGCGGACAGUGUCUGGUGGGUAGUUUGACUGGGGCGGUCUCCUCCUAAAGAGUAACGGAGGAGCACGAAGGUUGGCUAAUCCUGGUCGGACAUCAGGAGGUUAGUGCAAUGGCAUAAGCCAGCUUGACUGCGAGCGUGACGGCGCGAGCAGGUGCGAAAGCAGGUCAUAGUGAUCCGGUGGUUCUGAAUGGAAGGGCCAUCGCUCAACGGAUAAAAGGUACUCCGGGGAUAACAGGCUGAUACCGCCCAAGAGUUCAUAUCGACGGCGGUGUUUGGCACCUCGAUGUCGGCUCAUCACAUCCUGGGGCUGAAGUAGGUCCCAAGGGUAUGGCUGUUCGCCAUUUAAAGUGGUACGCGAGCUGGGUUUAGAACGUCGUGAGACAGUUCGGUCCCUAUCUGCCGUGGGCGCUGGAGAACUGAGGGGGGCUGCUCCUAGUACGAGAGGACCGGAGUGGACGCAUCACUGGUGUUCGGGUUGUCAUGCCAAUGGCACUGCCCGGUAGCUAAAUGCGGAAGAGAUAAGUGCUGAAAGCAUCUAAGCACGAAACUUGCCCCGAGAUGAGUUCUCCCUGACUCCUUGA